UGCCAUGAUUAGUCUCAGAAACACUACC
rnacentral:piRNA from 1 species